AAUAAAAGUUUUUAGCUGGUGUAUGUCUACAUCACUAUUGAAAUAAAACAGCCGUUACAAAACGUGGCCUAACAGCCGUUAUCGUUGGUUUAAGGACGAAAAUAGUUGUUAGUUACGCUGUUAGGAGAGCUGUUAAGAAGUAUUAACGGUGAGUCGAUUUGGCCGGAUCAACUAUAACUUAUAAGUUAAAUUAAAAGUCAACUUUUUACUAAGGUAUAAAACGGUCAUUUCAAAAGUUCACGGUUAAUUUGGCAACUUUUUGAAAAUUCAGUUAUUAAAUAACAUUUUUUCUCUUAUAAAUUAGAGAGAUUUCCAAUCAUUUAAGUUGCCAGGUCACACCCACCCGUGUCUCUUAAUCAAGUCCAACACGUAAAAUCUUUUCGAUAUUUAUUUGCGCUUUGAAGGUCAAACAAAUUUAAUUGUAUGAUUGAGAAUUAGGUAACUAAAUAAGAC
rnacentral:sRNA from 1 species